CUCCCCCUCCCAGGGACGUGCUGCCUCAGGCAGCUGGAGGGAUAGCCUGAGCCCCUUGCCGGGGCUGCUGAGGAGAGGAGGCCACUGCUGCCACCUGCUCGCGUCAGUCAACCCAGUCUGCUACCCCAGGCCUGGUGGUGGUGGGUGGGGUGGGACAAGAGGCAGAAUUUGGCUUAUGGAAAAUACCCAGAGGCUCUGGAAGGCAGAUACAAGGAGGUCCAAGGUGAAGGCAAGGCCAGGAGGAGCAGAUGCCAGGUGGGGGAAGAUGUCUGUGACCAGGAGUCGGGCCAGAAGGCUCUUACACCCAUACCUCAAGGUGGAGAGGCUGUGGAUAAAUACAUGCACAUCUGGAGGAGAAUGAGUGACACACAGUAGGUGCUCAACCACAAAGGUAAAAAGCCUGUGAGAGCAUCCAGCUUACUCCGGACAUGCUCAGAAAUACAAGCAAGGAACAUAGCAUGGACCCCAAGGCCAGAGACAUGAUGGAUCCUUGUGGCACCACCUGACUCAGUCCUUGGCUGGAACCAGCUCAGCAUUGCCUCUCUACCAUCGCCAAAAAUAAGUUGUACAUUUAUAUUUAAAUUUAUUUCUAGACUCACUAUUCUGUUCCAUUGAUCUAUGUAUCCAUAUCAAGUAGUUUUAGUCUUCUGAUUUUUAAUUCUUUUUUUUUUUUUUUGGUAACGGGGAUCGAACUCAGGAUCUUGCACUUUUGAGGCAGGCGCGGUACCACUGAGCUAAAUCCCUGGCCCCUGAUUUUUAAUUCUUUUUCAGAGUUAUUUGGCUUUUUCAGGUCUUUAGCAUUUCUGUAUGAAUGUUAGGGUCAACCUGUUGGUUUCUACAAUAAACAUCCUUGCAAUUUAGAUUAGAAUUACAUUGAAUGCAUAGAUAAAUUUGAGGAAAAUUGACAUCUAAACAUCACCAAAUCUUCUAAAUCAUGAAAAAAGUAUAACUCUACAUUGAUUUGUCUUCUUUAAUUCCUUUCUGUAAUUUUUAUGAUUUUCAGUAAAUACAUCUUUUAUAUCUUCUGUCAGAUUUUUUCCCAGUUUUUCAUGGUUUGGGUGCCAUUGUAAAUGUUUUUAUUUUAACUUCUGAUUGCUCAUUGUUAAUAUGUAUUCAUUUCAGUUAAAUUGUUAAAUUACACACCAUAAAGUUGUUCAUAAUAUUUACCUUUUAUUAUUAUAUAUUAUAUUAUCCUUUUAAUGUCUAUAGAACCUGGAGUUUUGCCACUUCUUUUGUUGCUGUAUCUGACCUUUGGUAGGCAUGAAACAGAAUUAUAAAGUUGUUUUAAUGUCAUUGUAUGAUAAUUUUAGCAAAGGUUUCAGUCUCUACCAAUUUAAAUUGAUUUUCCUCAUUAAAUCUCAUUUUCCUGCUUCUUUGAAAUCUUUGAUUGGUUGCUAGAAAUUAUGAAUUUUACCUCACGGGUAUCAGACAUCUUUUAUUCUAUAAAUUAAAUCUCUUUUGAACUUUGUUCUGGAA